UGGCGGCGACCGGCAAACGGGUGCGGAACACGUACACAACCUUCCUCUCGGUGGGGGACAGCCCAGGGAAACUUGGAUUAAUACCCCAUAACAUACUUUGAUUGCAUAAUUGAGGUAUUAAAGAUUUAUCGCCGGGAGAUGGGUGUGCGUAUGAUUAGGUAGUUGGCGGGGUAACGGCCCACCAAGCCUCCGAUCAUUAACUGGCGUGAGAGCACGACCAGUCACACGGGCACUGAGACACGGGCCCG
rnacentral:rRNA from 1 species